UUAGUAUAAGCAUUCUUUGAUUUCCAACUUGCGUUGGCCAAAGCUAGCUUUUAUUUUGCCUUAUACCAGUUUUCAUCUGCUUUCUUGAUCUCCCUAAUUCUGUUAUGCCAUUUUAUUGGAUACCAUUUCCUUUGUCUUAUCCAACUGAAGUUCAGUGAACUUCUUAUGCUCAAACAGCUUUUCUUUCCUGGAAAUCAUUCUGAAUUUAGUUCUUCCUCUUCCUUAGAUAUCUUGGAAAGCUCAGCCACUGAAGAAUGGAGCAGUUCUGUACUUGAGCUGGACAUUUAUUCAGCUUUCUAGACUUCUUGAAAAAAGAUGUUCUUUGAGCUUGGGUUCUCUCUGCAGUGGUCAAAGCUAGGAGUACUCAAUAAAAUAAGCUUUUGCAGGCUUGCUUUCUCCUAUAAAUUAGCAGAAUGAUGAGUCAAGGUGUUGAUAGUAUUUUCAAUUUCAUUGAAGGCAUUCGCUUGAUGAAUAGCUUCUAAUGACGGAUUGAAGUAAUGUCUUAAUGCCUGCUUCUGUCGCUGCAAAGAGUCAAAGGAGGGACUGUAUCCUGAGUUUUUGACUUUGAUGGGGUUGGGAUAUUCUAGUUAUUAUUUAACAAUAAUAUAUAAGGGGGUGUCAGUGAUUUUCUUGGGAAAAUUGUAUCAAUGGUAACUCAGCCUUCAAUUUUGGUUCAUAAUCUCUUGUUAUGCAUUUGAAACUGAUUCUCAUAUGUCAAAAAUGAUGCGUGUAGGUUGAUUAGUUGGACACAACAUAUCAUCUUUUGUGAUUUGAAAAUUAUGGGUAGUGACAAUAAUUGGGCAGGAACAAAAAUUUUGCAUUUUUUAUGAAAAAUAUGAAUUUACAAUUGAAUAUGCAUCCUUACAAAUCUAAUUGCGACUCUUUAGCAGCUGCAAAUUGGUAAUUGAUGUCUUGUUGCAUGAUGCUGGAAAGGGAAAGAUGAUGAACAGCAACUGCUAGCUAUGGACACCAGCACUGCUCUCUCUACAUCUUUAGAGGCAUUCUGUCUGAUCAGAGCAAUUGCAUAUUCUAUAAGGUCUGCAUCACAAGGGAAAGAAGGAAUCGUUUUUGAUCUGCAGAGUACACAACAAAAUGGCCUUUCUCAGCUAUCAAUGAAGUAUCUAUACUUCCUAUGUUUUGUGACGACAUGAUUCUUCUUCGCCUGAUAGCAGCCAUCUUCUGCCAUUUCCUGGCUAAUUUCAGAAGUUUCUUGGGAAAGUAUGUGACUUGGUUAUAUAUUCACAUGGCCAGACAAUC